rnacentral:rRNA from 1 species
GACGAACCGUGCGAACGUUGUUCGGAAUCACUGGGCUUAAAGGGCGCGUAGGCGGCUUACCAAGUCCGGGGUGAAAUUUUGCGGCUUAACCGUAACAGUGCCUUGGAUACUGGUAGGCUCGAGGGAGAUAGGGGUCUGCGGAACUUCCGGUGGAGCGGUGAAAUGCGUUGAUAUCGGAAGGAACGCCGGUGGCGAAAGCGGCGGACUGGAUCUCUUCUGACGCUGAGGCGCGAAAGCUAGGGGAGCAAACGGG